AUGACGCCUCGGCCCCACCGACAGUCGGCGACGUCCGCGCCUGUCGCCGCCGGGGCCGAGAUGGUGGUCGCCGUGGCGAAUGGGGCGAAGAGGGAGGCAGCCGCCGCCGCCAACACCACCGCUGCCGCUGCCGCCGACGCCGACGCAGAUUCUCCCAUCUCCGUCCUGGAGGAAGAGAAAAUGGCCGGAUCCAAGGAUGGGAAAGCGGGCGAGCUCAAGGCCAACGGCGGCGAGGCGCACCCCAUUGCGGAGGCGCUGAAGGCUGAAGAACAGCUACUGAACUCCGUCAAAGACGAGACAUCGGUUGAGCAUCUGGGUGCGACUUCACCUCUGCCUAUUGACCUCGCUGCCAAGAACGGCGAUGUAUCUCUCAUCACAGAGGUGAUGGCGAAGGAGGAAGAGGAGAUGUAUCAGGCCCGGAUUAAGCUAGAGGAAGAAGAGGAGGCCCGGAAGAGAGAAGAGGCCGCAAGGCAGGCCUUUGACCCGAAGGCAAAGUUCAGCAAGUUGGAUGAACUGCUGACGCAGACACAGCUCUAUUCUGAAUUUCUCCUUGAGAAGAUGGAGCAGAUCACAGAUGUUAAGCCGACUGCUGUUGAAAUUAAAGAUGAAGAGGAACCAGUGGAAGAGCAAAAGAAAGGACGGGGCAGGAAGAGGAAAGCGGAGAACUCUAAGCCACAGUACAAUGACAAGAAGGCUAAAACGGCAGUGGUAGCCAUGCUUUCAAGAUCUCGCGAAGAUCGCUCUGCUGAUGAUGGCACUCUCACGGAAGAAGAAAAGUGGGAAAGAGAGCAAGCCAACCUUGUUCCAUUGUUGACUGGGGGAAAGUUGAAAUCUUACCAGAUAAAGGGUGUUAAGUGGCUAAUAUCACUGUGGCAAAAUGGGCUUAAUGGGAUACUGGCUGAUCAAAUGGGCCUUGGCAAAACAAUCCAGACAAUUGCAUUUCUUGCUCAUCUUAAAGGGAAUGGCCUGCAUGGUCCAUACAUGGUUAUUGCUCCCCUUUCCACCCUGUCAAACUGGUUGAACGAGCUAACGAGGUUUGCUCCAUCUAUAAAUGGUCUGAUUUAUCAUGGAGAUAAAGUGGCUCGGACAGAGCUAAGGAGAAAACACAUGCCCAAAACUGUUGGUCCUGAUUUUCCAAUAAUAAUCACUUCAUAUGAGAUGGCCAUGUUUGAUGCAAAGUUUCUUGCUAAUUAUAAGUGGAAGUAUGUUGUUGUAGAUGAGGGGCAUCGUUUGAAAAAUACGAAGUGCAAAUUACUGAGGGAGUUGAGGCGCAUCCCAAUGGAUAACAAGCUCCUUUUGACUGGAACACCUCUUCAGAAUAAUCUAGCAGAGCUGUGGUCUCUAUUGAACUUCAUUUUGCCUGAUAUAUUCUCAUCCCAUGAGGAAUUUGAGUCAUGGUUUGAUUUUUCUGGGAAGGCUGAUGAGGAACUAGAGGAAGAAACUGAUGAAAAGAAAAGAGUCCUGGUUGUCUCAAAGCUUCAUGCCAUUUUGCGCCCAUUCCUUUUAAGGCGGAUGAAGGAGGAUGUAGAACACAUGCUUCCACGAAAGAAAGAGAUAAUCAUAUAUGCUAACAUGACUGAACAUCAGAAGCAAAUCCAGAAUCACUUGAUUGAGCAGACAUUUGAUGACUACUUGCAUGAGAGCGCAGAUAUUGUUUUGCGGAGGCCCGGCAUCAAGACAAAGCUAAAUAAUCUACUCAUUCAGCUGAGAAAAAAUUGUGGCCACCCUGAUCUUUUCCAUUCUGCUUUUGACUCAAACAGUCUCUAUCCACCUGUUGAUAAGCUUCUGGAACAGUGUGGCAAAUUUCAGCUGUUGGACAGGUUACUGAAUGCUCUCAUCAAACGAAAUCACAAGGUCCUAAUAUUUUCUCAAUGGACAAAGAUUUUGGACAUCCUUGACUAUUAUUUGUCUGAGAAAGGCCUGAAGGUUUGCCGAAUUGAUGGUAAUGUUAAGUUGGAAGACAGGAGGAACCAGAUAGCAGCGUUUAAUGACUUAAACAGUGGUAUGAAUGUCUUCAUUCUCAGCACACGUGCUGGUGGGCUUGGUAUCAACCUUACUUCUGCUGAUACUUGUAUCCUGUAUGAUAGUGACUGGAAUCCUCAGAUGGAUUUGCAGGCUAUGGAUCGAUGCCACCGUAUUGGCCAAACACAGCCAGUUCAUGUUUAUCGAUUGGCGACAUCCAAUUCUGUUGAGGGACGGAUCAUCAAGAAAGCUUUCGGAAAGUUGAAGCUAGAGCACGUAGUGAUCGGGAAGGGACAGUUCCAGCAAGAUGCCGCGAAGCCUAACGCCUUAGAUGAGGGGGAGCUGCUGGCGCUUCUGAGGGACGAGCAGGCCGAGGAAGACAGGAUGAUCCAGACGGACAUCAGCGACGAGGACCUCCUGAAGGUGAUGGACCGGAGCGACCUCACCGGCGCGCGUGCAGCCGCUGAUGCCGCCCCGCACUUCCCCCUCAAAGGGCCUGGCUGGGAGGUCGUGGUGGCUGCCGGCGGCGGCAUGCUCUCAGCGCUCACCAGCUGA
rnacentral:rRNA from 1 species